rnacentral:rRNA from 1 species
CCGACCUGGAGCUCCUUUUCCUUUGUACCCUUCUGCUCGAUAUGAAAAACUAGAGCUGUGUUUACAUAUUAGUGAAUGGGAUAUGCGUGAUAUGAUUCCAACUCGCGCACAAACUGAAACGGUUUGUCAAGGAGGCGUCCCCCCUCAUGUAUCUCUCACUCAGUAUGGUGACCGGCUGAAUAGCAGCUGGCGCUGGCGUUUUUUUAGUGUUAAUCUCAGCAGGUCGCUGGAUCGAUGGAAAGCCCAGUGUCUACCCUGGACGUGAUGUGUGUGAACUCACCUGGUGCCGCCUAAUUACUGCUUUGUUGACGUGUUUCCUUAUCCAUGUAUGAGAUUUUUGUAAUAAUGGUGCUCUGGGCCGGAGCAACUUAGAUGGAUUCUCUGCCUUUAGGUAGUCGGUUCCCUUCCCAUUUGUCCUAGGUGGAUUUUGAAUCUUUGUAGGUGUUUGUGGUCAUGUUUUUCAGGCUUCUUUCUGAAUGAAGCCGGGGAGCUCUCCUUGUUAAUCUUUUUUUUUUGACGGUGAUGUGUGCUGAACGUGUGGGCUGAAAGAGGUUAGGCCGAACGCCCUUAUGGCCACCCACUGUGCCACGUCAGUCUUUUUAUCGUUUUUUUUAUUUCAUGCAUGAAUGUAAAGAGGGAC